rnacentral:ncRNA from 1 species
AAACUUAAGAGUUUGAUCCUGGCUCAGAUUGAACGCUAACGGCAUGCUUAACACAUGCAAGUCGAACGGCAGCAUGACUGUAGCAAUACAGUUGAUGGCGAGUGGCGGACGGGUGAGUAAUGUAUAGGAAUCUGCCUUGUAGCGGGGGAUAACCUGGGGAAACUCGGGCUAAUACCGCAUAAUCUCUACGGAGCAAAGUGGGGGACCGUAAGGCCCCACACUACAAGAUGAGCCUAUAUUGGAUUAGCUAGUUGGUAGGGUAAAGGCCUACCAAGGCAACGAUCCAUAGCUGGUCUGAGAGGAUGAUC